UUCACUCUUCCUUUUACUCUGCUGUUUGAGAUGAAAUGAGAAGAGACGAGAAACAGGAAAAGUAACACCAUUACCUUCACCGUCGCAGAUCGCAUUCACCGUUCACCGUCACAGUGUGUUCGCCGUUCACCGUCGCUGCGUCGCAGUCGCGUUCGCUGUUCACCGUUGCGCUUCGCGCUCGCCUUUCACUGUUCGUCGUCCCCCGCGUCGUCCUUUCUCUUCUCCUAUUUUAUGUGUGCGAACCUUACCCUAAUUCUCCAUUUAGCGAUUUUUUUCUUCUUUUCCAACCCCACUGAACACUGAUAAGAGGAAGAACCACUGAAGCUGAAGCAAAAUUUGAGAAGCUCUUGAGAAGAAUAAAUGUAAAAUCUGAAAAGGUUGACCUGUCAAAAAGGUAAUGGUUUCUACAGAAGAGGAAUUUGAGCUUUGAAUAGGAAAACUCAAUUUGGCUGGCUCUGCUUUUGGUUUUGGUUUAACAAUUGAACCUCUCUAUGACACAGAUUUCAGGACGUUCGGUGAAGCUCUUUUGGUUCAGGCUUUCUACAAUUGGGCUAUAGCAAUCUCUGAUCGGACAAAAAUGCAUGGUCGCACAAGGGAAGCUGAAGAACUAUGGAAACAGGUCAGCAUAAAUAUGGUUCUUGGCAGCUCUUGCUCUUGUAGAUUGUAAAUUUGUUGAUGGAUACUGCAUAAUACUAAAUUCAGAACUCAUAGUGAAA